AUUUCUAGUUGGGUUAUAGACUAUGAUUCUAGUAUUCACUUGUGCACUACCAAGUAGGGUCUAAAGAAAAGUAGAAGGCUUACGAAAGGUACGGUAACCCUACAGGUUGGCAAUGGAGCAAGAGUUGCUGUUGUUGCUGUGGACACCUAUCCUCUGCGAUUACCAUCAGAAUUUAGUUUGAUACUUAGAUAUUGUUAUUUUGUACCUAGUGCUAGCAGAAAUUUGAUUUUUGUAUCUUGUCUAGCAUAGAAACAUUUUGAAUUCAAUUUCAAUAAAGACUAUUAUUCUAUUUAUUUGUGAAAUAAAUUGGUUACAUGUGGUUUCAUGAUUGAUAGUCUCUAUCACUUAUAUAUGAAU
rnacentral:lncRNA from 1 species